ensembl:misc_RNA Metazoa_SRP Metazoan signal recognition particle RNA
GCUGGGCAUAGUGGCGUACACCUGUGGUCCCAGCUACUUAGGAGGCUGAGGUAGGAGGAUUGCUUGAGCCCAGGAGUUUGAGGCUGCAGUGAGCUAUGAUUGUGCCACUGCACUCCAGCCUGGGCAAAAAAAGCGAGACCCUGUCUCUA